CCUACGGGUGGCAGCAGUGGGGAAUUUUGGACAAUGGGCGCAAGCCUGAUCCAGCUAUUCCGCGUGUGGGAAGACGGCCUUCUGGUUGUAAACCACUUUUUUAGAGAACGAAAAGUCUAUUGAUAAUACCGAUAGACGAUGACGGUACUAUAAGAAUAAGCACCGGCUAACUCCGUGCCAGCAGCCGCGGUAAUACGGAGGAUGCGAGCGUUAUCCGGAUUUGUUGGGUUUAAAGGGUGAGUAGGCGGAUCGUUAAGUCAGUGGUCAAAUUGAAGGUCUAAACCCCUUCCCGCCAUUGAAACUGGCGUUCUUGAGUGGAAGAGAAGUAUGCGGAAGGCGUGGUGUAGCGGUGAAAUGCAGAGAUAUCACGCAGAACCCCGAUUGCGAAGGCAGCAUGCCGGCUUCCGACUGACGCUGAAGCACGAAAGCGUGGGGAUCGAACAGGAUUAGAUACCCCUGUAGUC
rnacentral:rRNA from 1 species